GAGCGGGUGUAGCAAUACACCAGCGGCAGACGGGAGAGUAACACGUGGGAACGUGCCCUUCAGUUCGGAACAACCCAGGGAAACUUGGGCUAAUACCGGAUACGUCCGUAAGGAGAAAGAUUUAUCGCUGAAGGAUCGGCCCGCGUCUGAUUAGCUUGUUGGUGAGGUAAUGGCUCACCAAGGCGACGAUCAGUAGCUGGUCUGAGAGGAUGAUCAGCCUCACUGGGACUGAGACACGGCCCAGACUCCUACGGGAGGCAGCAGUAGGGAAUAUUGGACAAUGGGCGCAAGCCUGAUCCAGCCAUGCCGCGUGGGUGAUGAAGGCCCUAGGGUUGUAAAGCCCUUUCGGCGGGGAAGAUAAUGACGGUACCCGCAGAAG
rnacentral:rRNA from 1 species